CGACUGGGAGAGAGAUAGAGGGCCAGAUCGAUACUGCAAUAGGGAUAGAGACAGAGAGCAAGAGCGAGAGAGAGACCGUGAGCGUGGUCGUCGUGAACGUUAUCGUGAACCGGAUCAAAGAAAUAGAGAUAUGGUUCAAGAGGAGGAGGCUAAGGCUAGGAAGAAGGAAGCUUGUUGACAAGGUUGCAGAAGCUGGAUUCUAUGUCGUGGUUCCUGAUGUCUUCCAUGGAGAUCCAUUGUUAGUUGUUGAUUGCAAAGCUAAGAACAAGACAAUGACUUAUCUCUUUGUUGGAUAAUAAAUAAACCAUGGUCCACUGACAUGAGCUUACACAUGGCUUUAUCUUUCCUGUUUUGUGUUUAAUCUCAGCAAAAGUUGCGGUGGAAAUGGCAAAACAGAAGCUUGUUGACGCUACUGUUUUAUUACAUCCUUCUAGUGUGAUAAAAAGAUUUAAAAAGAGUGAGAGUCAUCAAUCUUGCUGUAAAAGAUGGUGAAUUAAUCUUUUGACGCUAGAGAAAUGGAGUAUGUGUGGUUAGUAUCUUCUGUUUGUUUGAUACAUGGUGAGAUCACAUUUGUUUUGAAAUUGUUUCCUAAUGGUAAGUUUGAUAAUAUGGGUUUUGUUUGUAUUGCUUCGGUUAUA